UACGUAGGGUGCAAGCGUUGUCCGGAAUUAUUGGGCGUAAAGAGCUCGUAGGCGGUCUGUCGCGUCGAAUGUGAAAACCCGGGGCUCAACCCCGGGCCUGCAUUCGAUACGGGCAGACUAGAGGUAGGUAGGGGAGAAUGGAAUUCCCGGUGUAGCGGUGAAAUGCGCAGAUAUCGGGAGGAACACCGGUGGCGAAGGCGGUUCUCUGGGCCUUAACUGACGCUGAGGAGCGAAAGCAUGGGGAGCGAACAGG
rnacentral:rRNA from 1 species